rnacentral:rRNA from 1 species
CCUACGGGAGGCAGCAGUGAGGAAUAUUGGUCAAUGGGCGCUAGCCUGAACCAGCCAAGUAGCGUGAAGGAUGACUGCCCUAUGGGUUGUAAACUUCUUUUAUAUGGGAAUAAAGUGCAGUAUGUAUACUGCUUUGCAUGUACCUUAUGAAUAAGGAUCGGCUAACUCCGUGCCAGCAGCCGCGGUAAUACGGAGGAUCCGAGCGUUAUCCGGAUUUAUUGGGUUUAAAGGGAGCGUAGGCGGGUUGUUAAGUCAGUUGUGAAAGUUUGCGGCUCAACCGUAAAAUUGCAGUUGAUACUGGCAGCCUUGAGUACAGUAGAGGUAGGCGGAAUUCGUGGUGUAGCGGUGAAAUGCUUAGACAUCACGAAGAACUCCGAUUGCGAAGGCAGCCUGCUGGACUGUAACUGACGCUGAUGCUCGAAAGUGUGGGUAUCAAACAGGAUUAGAUACCCCAGUAGUC